rnacentral:rRNA from 1 species
CUACGGGGCGCAGCAGUGGGGAAUCUUGCGCAAUGGACGAAAGUCUGACGCAGCGACGCCGCGUGGGUGAUGAAGGCCUUCGGGUCGUAAAGCCCUGUUCUGGGGGAAGAAACCACUUCGGUGCUGACGGUACCCCAGAAGAAAGCACAGGCUAACUCCGUGCCAGCAGCCGCGGUAAUACGGAGUGGUGCUAGCGUUGUUCGGAUUUACUGGGCGUAAAGCGCAUGUAGGUGGCUUGACAAGUCGGAUGUGAAAUCCCGUGGCUCAACCUCGGAACUGCAUUCGAAACUGUCUUGCUUGAGUCCGGGAGGGGGUUGCGGAAUUCCGUGUGUAGAGGUGAAAUUCGUAGAUAUACGGAGGAACACCCGUGGCGAAGGCGGCAACCUGGACCGGUACUGACGCUGAGAUGCGAAAGCGUGGGGAGCAAACAGGAUUAGAUACCCGAGUAGUC